rnacentral:piRNA from 1 species
UGCAAUAGUGUUUUGGAAAGCUGGGA